rnacentral:rRNA from 1 species
UUUUUUAAUUUUAAUAUUUGAAUUUUAUAAAUUAGUAAGAAAUCUAAUUUAAUAAAAAAAGACGAGAAGACCCUAUAGAAUUUUAUAAAUUUAAUUAAUUUAUUAUUAAAAUUUAAUUUAUUAUUUUAAAAUUUAUUUUAUUGGGGAGAUAUUUAAAUUUUUAAAACUUUGAAAUUUAAAUUCAUUUUAUAAAUGUAUUUUUGAUCUUUUUUUUAUUGAUUAAAAAAAUAAAUUACCUUAGGGAUAACAGCAUAAUAGUUUUAAUAAGUUCUUAUUAUUAAAAAAGAUUAUGACCUCGAUGUUGAAUUAAAAUUAUUAUUAUAUGAAGGGAUAUAAUAAAUAAGUCUGUUCGACUUUUAAAAUUUUACAUGAUUUGAGUUCAAAUCGGUGUGAG